GAUGAACGCUGGCGGCAUGCCUUACACAUGCAAGUCGAACGGUAACGGGCCUUCGGGUGCCGACGAGUGGCGAACGGGUGAGUAAUGUAUCGGAACGUACCUUUCAGUGGGGGAUAACGUAGCGAAAGUUACGCUAAUACCGCAUAUUCUGUGAGCAGGAAAGCAGGGGAUCGCAAGACCUUGCGCUGAUUGAGCGGCCGAUAUCAGAUUAGCUAGUUGGUGAGGUAAAGGCUCACCAAGGCGUCGAUCUGUAGCGGGUCUGAGAGGAUGAUCCGCCACACUGGAACUGAGACACGGUCCAGACUCCUACGGGAGGCAGCAGUGGGGAAUUUUGGACAAUGGGGGGCAACCCUGAUCCAGCCAUGCCGCGUGAGUGAAGAAGGCCUUCGGGUUGUAAAGGACUCUUUCGGUCCGGGAACGGAAA
rnacentral:rRNA from 1 species